GUUGUACAUUUAUUUGUUCGAUUACUUCUAUUUACAACUUGUAGAUCGUAUACGAGAAUCGAUGAACGAAAUUUACCUCAUGACAAACAUGUAAGUAUAUAUCACCUCUAAGUACUUGGCUUCGAUUCUCAGUAACGGACUCAUGUGAAAAGAGUCAGUCAACGUUCUGUCGAAAGUGGUGGGGUUCCUCUAGAUGCCUUGGUUUCCUCCU